rnacentral:rRNA from 1 species
GAGCUAACGCGUUAAGUCGACCGCCUGGGGAGUACGGCCGCAAGGUUAAAACUCAAAUGAAUUGACGGGGGCCCGCACAAGCGGGGAGCAUGUGGUUUAAUUCGAUGCAACGCGAAGAACCUUACCUACUCUUGACAUCCAGAGAACUUAGCAGAGAUGCUUUGGUGCCUUCGGGAACUCUGAGACAGGUGCUGCAUGGCUGUCGUCAGCUCGUGUUGUGAAAUGUUGGGUUAAGUCCCGCAACGAGCGCAACCCUUAUCCUUUGUUGCCAGCGGUCAGGCCGGGAACUCAAAGGAGACUGCCAGUGAUAAACUGGAGGAAGGUGGGGAUGACGUCAAGUCAUCAUGGCCCUUACGAGUAGGGCUACACACGUGCUACAAUGGCGCAUACAAAGAGAAGCGACCUCGCGAGAGCAAGCGGACCUCAUAAAGUGCGUCGUAGUCCGGAUUGGAGUCUGCAACUCGACUCCAUGAAGUCGGAAUCGCUAGUAAUCGUAGAUCAGAAUGCUACGGUGAAUACGUUCCCGGGCCUUGUACACACCGCCCGUCACACCAU